UACGGGGGGGGCAAGCGUUGUUCGGAAUUACUGGGCGUAAAGGGCUCGUAGGCGGCCAACUAAGUCAGACGUGAAAUCCCUCGGCUUAACCGGGGAACUGCAUCUGAUACUGGAUGGCUUGAGAUUGGGAGAGGGAUGCGGAAUUCCAGGUGUAGCGGUGAAAUGCGUAGAUAUCAGGAGGAACACCUGCGGUGUAGACGGCUUUCUGGACCAUUGUUGACGCUGAGACACGAAAGCGUGGGUAGCAAACAGG
rnacentral:rRNA from 1 species